GGUGAGGAAACAAAAGAAAUCCAAAGACAGAAACGACAGGAAAUGAGGAUAUUGAAAACUGACACUACUAUAUCUACAUUUGGUUUAGGUUUUUUUUUUUUUUCCCUUUUUGGAAGUUGUAUGUAAGAGAAAAAAAAUCACGAAAUGCUUUCAUUUCUCUGUGAUUGAGCAAACUCGUAAAAUAUUAAAGUAUUGAUUAAUAAUUGAUUAGAACUAACCUCACUGGAGCCAAUCAACCAUUUGGCAGGAUCGCUUUAAACUUUUAGGGGCUUUUAGCCCCCCUGGCUUCUAACCUUCCUCUUGUCUGAUUCAUUCAGGACUGAGCAGCGCUUCAGUCUGUUGGACGUGUGAUGUCACACUAUCCCUAUAGAACUGUGAGGUGGCUGCUUGGAGGUGGAUUAAAAACAAAGGGGAGCCCCAUCAAGCGCAGGGGAUGGUGAAAGGGGUGGGAAGGUCCAUCGCACUGGCCUUGAUGUUAGGAGUCAGGGAGAGUGGCUGGCUUUGUGUCUCACAGCUCCAUUUAGGUCAGACUUUGCCUUGAGAUGACAGUUAAGCCUGUCUGCCUGCCUGGAUGAUACUUAAAGUUGGUGAAACUGGUAUGACUGGAUUGGAGUACGGGCACAGCCAUCAGAUGAGCUAGGUCUAAAGCCUGCCUGGUGAGUUAUAAGAUUUCUGCCCUCAUACCUUCAAUCCCAGCACUCAGGAGGCAGAGACAGGAAGAUCUCUGUGAAUUUGAGAACAGCCUGGUCUACAAAGCAAGUUCCGGGACAGCCAAGGGUACAUAGAGAAACCGUGUCUCAAAAAUAAAACAAACUCCUGUCCUCUACCUGCCUCAGUGCCCUCCCUUAUAAGCUAGGGGUGAGACCAUGUAUUGACAUUCUCCACCAUGACUGAGGUAAAGGCUCUAACAGCUCAGGGAGACUCUAAAGUGAGAAGCCACUGUUCAGAGGAUAUAUACACACCAUGAGGCCUCAGGCUCCAAAAAUAACACUGGGAAAACUACAUAGUAGCUGUACUAUGGUGACUAUGGUGGUUGUGUGGAUAGCCACAGCUUCCUAAAGGAGCUCAGAACCUCGAGAGACAAACAUCUGUCUUCCCACAGCAAUGAUAUAAAAGCUGGGAAUAACUCAAAUCCUGAAUGAGUAGAUAAACCAAGUGUGGUCUGGCCAUAUAACAGAAAGUUAUUCAGCCUGAAGAAGGAAUGACACUCUGGCAUAAGCUGCCACAUGUGGAGGUCACCUCCUCCACCACAUGUGGAUUUACCCUGAGUCCUGCAGAACAACAAUGACCUGGGCCAGACUCAAAAGGGCAAAUACCCUGUGACUGCAUCACUAGAGGUCCCUGCAAUCCUCAAAGUUUGACGCUGAUGGGCUGGAGAGGUAGCUCUGGAGUUGCCAUGGAAGCAUGAAGACCUGAGUUCAGAUCCUAAGAACUGACAAAGCUGGACAUCUCAGCAUGAGCAACCCUAGCGCUCCGAUGGCAAGAUAGAAAGCACCAUCGGGAGAGCUAACAGAAGCUUCUGUGUUAACAGUGGACAACAAGAGACCCUGUCUCCUGCUGGCGAGGCUCAGCGGGUAAAGCCACUUGCUCUGCAAGCUGGGAGAGUGGGGGAGAUAAGGAAUCCCAAACGUUAUCCUCUGGCCUCCACACAUACACCCUGGUCUUCAUGCCCCCAUUAUAUACUCACACAC
rnacentral:lncRNA from 1 species